CUCAUUUCAUUAAAUUCUUCCAUGGACAAAACACGUGAUAUUCUUUGUUUUUUCUAUUUCAGGAAGGAUUGUUUCUUUUAGGAUGAUAUGUGAGAAAUGAGAAUUAGAAAUACUAAUGGUAUGAUAUGCUGUCUACCCAUUUUCCCACACUACUUGAGAAGACAGGAAAAGGCCCUCAUGUAUAAUCUGACAGGUCACAAAAAUAUCUGAUUUCAAAGAGAUGCUCGUAUUCUGUGCUGAUGCCAUCUAAGAAUGCAAAUGCUCAAAUGUGACACUGCUAAGUGGAAAAAGCAAAAACUUUCAUCUUUUCAAUCCUGGAUUUGGGAUCCUGAAUUUGGGAGCCGAAUAUUUCCUCUUGUACAAGGCCUCCAUGUAAUACACACCAGGUAGGGAAUAUCUGUCAUUCACUCUCAUGAGGACAGGGUUUCAGCUGCAGGGUGCUUCCUCUUCUUGGACUUCUUAUCCUCGAGGUUACUGUUUUUAAAUUUGCUGCUGGCAGUAUUUACCUUAUUGGCUGGAGAUCCUUCUUAGUGUCCAGCUUCUGAGCUGAAGCUUUUUCACCCACUAUCUUGCAAGAUGCAAAAGAGUGCCUUUUUACUUAUUUAAGAGGUAGAGAGACAUAGGGAGAGAGGAGAGAUAGAGAGAUUAAAAAGGGCAAAUAGAUGAUAGAUGAUGGAUGAAUGGAUGGAUAGAUAGAUGAUUGAUGAUAGAUACAUAGAUAGAGAUGACAGAUAGAUAGAUUCUAUCUGCUGGUUCACUACCCAAAUGACCACAAUGGCCAGCACUGGGACUGUGGGUCAUAGCUGGGAGCUCAGUUCCUAUCUUCCACAUUGGUGGCAGGAAUUCAAUUAUUAGAAAUAGCACUGCUGCCUCCUAGGGCCAUCAAUGUCAGAAAGCUGGAGUCAAGACCUUGAGCUGGAAAUCAGACCCAGGGACUCUGAUGCAGGAUUCAGGUGCCUUAAAUUCUAGUCUUAAUUCCCACUUUUGUCCAUUUGUUAAUUGAGUAGUUUGUCUUUUUAUUGUUAAAUCAUAAGACUGUUUGUAAAUGCUGACUAUAAGUUCCUUUGUCGAUACAUGAUUUAAAGUAUUUUCCUUCAUUCUUGGAGAUAUCUUAUUUUCCCCAGACUCCCCUUAUUUUCAGGUAUACAAACUUAACGCAUUUCAUUAGUACAACUUUAGGAACAAAGUGAUUCUUCUCACCAUACCUGCCAUCCCACCUGCACUCCCACUCUUCUUCCUUAUCCUUUUCCUAUUCCUAUUCUUAUUUUUCACUAAAUUUAUUUUCAAUUAAUUUUAUACAAAUAUGAUGAACUCUAUACUAAGUAAAGAGUUAAGCAAAUAGCAUGAAAAAAAUAUUGUUCAGUAGUCAAUGGCUGUGAUUGCCAUUCUA
rnacentral:lncRNA from 1 species